UAAAGAAUUUCGGUAUGGGAUGGGGAUGCGUUCCAUUAGUUAGUUGGCGGGGUAACGGCCCACCAAGACAACGAUGGAUAGGGGUUCUGAGAGGAAGGUCCCCCACAUUGGAACUGAGACACGGUCCAAACUCCUACGGGAGGCAGCAGUGAGGAAUAUUGGUCAAUGGACGAGAGUCUGAACCAGCCAAGUAGCGUGAAGGAUGACUGCCCUAUGGGUUGUAAACUUCUUUUAUAUGGGAAUAAAACGUUCCACGUGUGGAAUUUUGUAUGUACCAUAUGAAUAAGGAUCGGCUAACUCCGUGCCAGCAGCCGCGGUAAUACGGAGGAUCCGAGCGUUAUCCGGAUUUAUUGGGUUUAAAGGGAGCGUAGGUGGAUUGUUAAGUCAGUUGUGAAAGUUUGCGGCUCAACCGUAAAAUUGCAGUUGAAACUGGCAGUCUUGAGUACAGUAGAGGUGGGCGGAAUUCGUGGUGUAGCGGUGAAAUGCUUAGAUAUCACGAAGAACUCCGAUUGCGAAGGCAGCUCACUGGACUGCAACUGACACUGAGGCUCGAAAGUGUGGGUAUCAAACAGGAUUAGAUACCCUGGUAGUCCACACAGUA
rnacentral:rRNA from 1 species